GUUUCCGUAGUUAAAUGUAUAACAACGGCUUUUCAGGCCGUGGGUUCCAGAGCGAGGCUGGACGGGAAUA
rnacentral:tRNA from 4 species